GACGAAGGGGGCUAGCGUUGUUCGGAAUUACUGGGCGUAAAGCGCGUGUAGGCGGUCUGUCACGUCGGCUGUGAAAACCCGGGGCUCAACCCCGGGCCUGCAGUCGAUACGGGCAGACUAGAGUGCGGUAGGGGAGACUGGAAUUCCUGGUGUAGCGGUGAAAUGCGCAGAUAUCGGGAGGAACACCGGUGGCGAAGGCGGUUCUCUGGGCCUUACCUGACGCUGAGGAGCGAAAGCGUGGGGAGCGAACAGG
rnacentral:rRNA from 1 species